AUCAGAUCCCAUUACCGAUGGCUGUGAGCCACCAUGUGAUUGCUGGGAAUUGAAUUCAGGACCUCUGGAAGAACUGUCAGUGCUCUUAACCGCUGAGCCCUCUCUGCUUCCCAGGCUCCGUCGCUGACGCGUCGUGGACGUUGGGGAGCGGGAAGGCAGCAGCAGCGAGGCCGGGAUGAACAGCGGCGGCGGCUUCGGCUUGGGCUUAGGCUUCGGCCUCUUCCCUACGACGGUGAUUCAGGUGACGAACCUCUCGUCGGCGGUGACCAGCGAGCAGAUGAGGACGCUCUUUUCCUUCCUAGGAGAAAUCGAGGAGCUACGGCUCUACCCCCCAGA
rnacentral:lncRNA from 1 species